CGACUUAGGGUAGAUGUGGGUUAACGUGGUAGAACAUGGCUAACUAGGACAUAUUAAAUAAUACACAAGAAUCGAUCGUACUACAAAUGCACGAUUUGUGGCCGAAGGUUGUCGAGGAAACAAAGACUCGAAACUCACUUGAGUUGUGUUCAUGGCAAAGAUUGGUGGACUGUUUUUCAUCUAUGAACCUCGUUUUUCGGGAGAUGAUAAAGUAGUUGUUGAAGAAAGGGGCCAUUACUACCAACUAUUUUUGUGCUCCAUGGCUUUCCCUUUUGUGAAAGUGGGUUGGUUGGUUGGGCAAAAUAAACAGAAGAAAAUAAAAGAAUACCCUCCAGAAAGCUAAGAGAAGAAGCAUCGUAUAUAUACAAUGUAUCUUUUUUCUUCUUCAUAUUUCCAUCUAUACAACAUUUAAAAUCUGAAUUUAAGACUUCAUGCCAAGAGUGUUGCUAGAGAAGGAGUUAAGUUUCUUAAGGAGAUACUUUGUUUUCCAAUUCUACUUUGACAGUUAAUAAGCUCCAAAAGGUAAACUAAUUGCUAUUUAACAACAAUAUAAGUGUGAAAAAAAAAACUUCACAGGUUAACUGAAAAAGAAGCCUAAAAAAACUUCAUGCUCCAAGGGGAAGUUAAUCCAUGCUUCCAAGAUAUUAGUUAGGGACUAAAAAGAAAAACAUAUAGUUGUUUUUGUUUCAUAUAAACUAUCUUUGGGCAACAACAUGUCACAAUUAAGGCUAUUUGUGACUGUAUAAGAACAUUUUUGUCACUUUUUUUCUUCAGUCUUUUGCUAAAUCACCUUUUGAUCAGUUUUCAAAUGUGCCACUGAAAAGAGGUACAAUUCUGUGAUGACAGCUUGUUUCUUGUAAAACAUUAUUGUGAUAACA